GCAGGGUCUCCUGUUGCAUCUUUGCAGAGUGCUGAGGGGCUGCAGGGCAGUGCCUGCCUCAAGCUGCACUGCCUCCUGCUCCCCCUUUUUCUCUUCUCUCCUCAGGGCUGGCAGGAGGGUUUCUCUUUUUUUUUUUUCUGCUCACACCUUGCUGCUGGGCACCAUUUUGCUGUUCCUGACCCCUCUGUGCCAGAGGUGGUGCUAAGGGGCCAGGCUGUGCUGGGGGCCACUGGAACCCGUCGGCACCUCUCCUCACAGGGCUCCAUGCCUGACACCCAGGCACCCGCAACCAGCAAAAAUCCUCUCAGAAUUUUCCCCCAAAGCACAGGAUAAGUGGGUUCUCAAAGGGGGCAUUUUCCUGGCUUGACAAAUGACUCCCCUGCCCCACCACAGGCCCUGGCAGAGGCUGAAGGUCACGGCUGGGGCCUGCAGUGCCCAGCAGGGCGUGGCGGCAGCCAUUUUGUGGGUAGGGCCAGCAGCUUGCGUUUAGGGUUUGGGAUGUGCCCAGACCUCUGUAACACAGCAUGUGCAAAGGCAGGACUACAUCCCACCGUGAAAUGAGCUGUGGUAAAGCUCCCAGGAAUGCUUCCUCUGAAGGCCCCAGUGCUGCAGCAAGAGGAGCAGUACACCCAGGCAUUGUCAUGGCUCCGGUUUGCUGGACUGUCAUCUUGCCCCUCAGCAGCAGCAAAAUUUCUGCAUAACAUCGUCUACCCAAGACAAACAACCUCACAAAGGGCCAGAUUUACCUCCUUGCUGGCAUCUGCUAUGGCAGCAGCAAUGAUGGAGAAGACAAAAUUGUUGUCCACUGACGGUGCCUCAGUGACUGGUGCUGGAUGGAGUUCCCGGCAAGCUGCUUCUGGAAAGUCUCACAGUACCAGUUUUGGGUUGAACAACAGCAAGCAACACCCCACCAUAGGCACGACUGGAGUGAGAAGCUUUACCAAGGUAGGAAAAAAAAAUAAAACCCUUUUACCUAGGUUAGGAAGGGAGGGGAGACUUCAGUACCAAAGUCUCAUUUUACCAGGGGUUUAGCCAGAAAAGGAUGAGGGACCAACCAAACAAAUAUGAAGCACAGGAAACAGCAUUUCCUAAUCAAAAUAUUGAGGAUUUGUGGGAAAAAUACUGCAGAUUUUCACUGCAGAAUUUUACAAGAAAAUUCUCCAAAGUGUUUAUUGUGUGGAGUUAGCAGAUUACAUCUUUUGGUGUUUUCAGUACUGGGAGGACUGAAACAAAGGCAUGUGAGAUUCAUGGCAGUUAAAAUUCCUGCAGUAUAAACAAACCCAUCCAAUCUGCGAGCAUUUCAGUUUGCUCUGUUUUGUUUUCAAAAUUGUUGGUGCUAUCCGGAACAUUGCAUUGGCUCUUUACUUGCAGGAUAACGACACUGCCAUUCAUCUACUUCAGGCAUACCGAUCACAGCAAAUGGGAAAAUUUGCAAUUUUUAGGAUUGUUAACAUUUUUUCUGGGCUUCCCUAAUUUUGUGCAGAGUCAAGGUGGGUGUUUAUAAAAUAGUAGCGACAUUACGAUGCAACAUGUAACUUUUUCUGUAAUACAAACUCUGUACAUUGUGCCUGAAUGACAGAAAUCAGGGGAAUGAAACCAAUGGAUUCUCUUUUUUAAAACAGUCCCUCACUGGUGAUUCUGGGGAAUUCAUAACUCCCAAGCAUAGACCAUUAAAAAAAAAAUAAGACAAUCAUAUUUUAGGUGGGUUCUACCAUGAACACUUAGGUUAUUUUCAUCCUGAUUUUCUCAGUUUAAAAAUUAGAACAUUGUAUUUCAAACAUAUUUGAGAUCCCAGGCUUGUUUGUGUUGGAUUUUGCUGUUGCUCUUGGGGAGAGUUUUGGCCCCCUGUUUCAGCUGCUUUGGAGUGCUGCUUUGGGGUCUGGUGCAAGUGAUUUUUACUGCCACAGGAAAGGAAAGCAUAUUUGUUCAGCGAACUGUGAUGGAGAACAGACUUACUGUUUCCUGAUUUCUGAAAUACAAAUUCAAACAACACAGAUUUGUCCUUGGCCCAGGGAUGUGUGACAGCAAGCUAAACGUAAGGUAAGUGAAGGCAAACGUAACUGAUCCCAAAUAUCAGCUGUCUGUUGUAUCUGCAGCACUCUGGAAAUUCAUAUCUAUCUGGAUAUGUAUAUAAAAAUUGUGAACUCUGCUUCAACAUAACACAAUUCUAAAAACACUCAUUUGGGGUUUUAAAAAACCCCACGUGUAAUUCUGAAAUUAGGCUUUUUUCCACUUGUUUUCCUGUUACCCUUCUUCUGUUAAACUGCCUGUUAAAUGAUGCCUGUUAAACUAACAAUGUCCUCGAUUGUAAUGACUGCUUUGCUGAAAAGGAAAAAUUUUCUCCAUCUACUUGUGAAGGGGAUUCAGUUGUCACUCGGUGGUGCAGUCAUCUCUCUUUGCAGCCCCUUUAUUCUGGUGGUUAGUACCCAGCAUCUCGUCAUCGCAUUUUAUUGUAUUCCGGUGCACUCCGUGGAUCCCACAUUAAGAGGUGUGGCUGUAGGCUUUUUAAAGAUUCUAAAUUUUCAUUAUAUUGUAAAAAAUUGCAGGCAUUUUACAGCAUUUUAAUGCAGGCUUAAUUGGGUGUGCAAAAUGCAAGUGUAAUUACAGUUGUGGAAGAAGCUCUACACAAAUAGUUUGGCUAUUUAGAGGCAUAAUUAUCCAGAUUGCAUUCACAAGAAUAGUAACUAUAUAUGUAAAUCAGUCAAAAUGCUUUCUAAAUAGCCUAUUCUAGUCAUCCUAACCUUUUGCAUUACAUAACCACAAUGAAGAACCUCAAGAAUAGCAUCUACAAAUGCAGCUUUCUUUGCUGAGUCGUACUGUGGGAAACUGAGAAACAGCAUACUACCUUCUUCGGUUUAAAAAAUAAAAUUAAAAAAAAAAAAGCCUGAAAAUGCAGCAAUGCCUUUUGCGUUACAAGACCUGGAACAUCAAGAAGGUCCUCAGACCACAGGAGCCCCUGUUCAGAUGCAGGUCUGAGGAGGUGGCACAGGACUGACCAAGCCUGAGGGGAGGAAGCUGUGGGACGAAUGUGCUGAGUGACAUGGGGCAAUGAAAGCUUUAGAUCCAUUCAGUUUUCCUGAAAUGAUGAAAAAUGCAUGUUUUUACUCUUCUUCCUGUACUGUACUGCUGUGAGAGCAGAACUCCUCCUUGCACAAAGAUCUGUUCUAAGAUUUACUGAUGAAAAUGGAAGUUUUACAGCAUUUUAGAGAACAAAGGUACAGACGGAAGCCUAUUUGACAUACAAAUAAACCACCGAUGUUCCUGUUUCUCUAUUUUAUACUUUUAUCAUAUUCUGGAGUAGUUCUGGAAAGCAUCUUCACCACGUUUCCUGCAGCUUUUUGCAAACCAAAACUUUUAAAGUAAGGUUUUAUAAUUCAAGCAGAAGAGAAUACCAGUCUGGUGAUGGCUGGGAAUAAAUUCUUUGCUGCAGUGAAGGCAGCGAGGUUCUAUUCACAAUUGUCAUGAAAUUGAAACAUUGCUUCAGAUUUAUUUUAGUUGUUUCAAGUCUUCAUAUUGGGUCAAAUUUAUAUCUCAUAUGCAAGCAUUCCAGCUUAAGAAUCCCCCUUGGAACCAGAAUUUUUCUGUUCAGACCCAUCACUGGAAUAAAUUCAUUGAUAAACUAGCUUGUGUUCUGCAAAUGCUGACAUAACCAUGCUCUAAUGCACAGCAGUAGGUAGAGCAGAGCAUCUCUCUCACUUUCUUACUGUCUGAUUAAUAUUCUGAAUAAUGCAGGUUUCUAUGGCCUUUUCUUGCCAAUUUGUUUCUUGUUAAUAUUCCCAGUCAAACCACCUUCCUUGCUUCUACACUCUACUUUUACAUUUGAGCUCAAAAUGAGAAAUAUGCCUUUUUUAAAAACACAGAAUUAUUACACAAUACAUUAAAGACAGUACCUGCUUUUUAGGAGGGCUAGAAAAAAAUUGCCAAUUCUGAGCUGAAGGAAGUUUUUUUUUGUUGUUGUUUUGUUUUUUGUCCUCCUCCCUUCCCCCCCAAAAAAGCCCACCAACAAGGAAAAUCCCAGCAACAACCAACUGCCCUUUCUGUUCCCCCCAGAACUUCACGUUUCACAAAAUGGUUCUGUUUUCAUUAGAAAAUGUUUUACUUGCAUCCGAAAUGGAGCAACUUUUGGGUGUCUCCCUAUAUUUGCAAUUUAAAAUACUUCAAACUAACCCCAAACCCAAAGCAGUGGCUGAAGUACUCUUUUUCUCAGUUUCCAGCCAAUCUUAAAGCCAUUAUUUAAAAAAAAAAUCAUUUAUCAGAUAAUCAUUUUUUGAAAUGAGUUAAAAGUCUGUUUACCAUCAAAAAAAAAUUAACAUCUUCUAUCCAACUCAAUUUAUGAAUUGACAUAGUAACAAUAACGUAAUACAGAAGCCUGUGUAAGUAUAACCAUCUGCCCUGAUACUUUUAAAUUAUAAAUGGAAUUUAUUAAAACUUCAAGCACUAUUUAUAGCUGUACUCCAGAUUUAAUAUACAGGCUAGCAAGAUGAUGAGAUAGUUGAUGGCAUUUUUUUUUUUGCAAGUUUUUUUUUGAUUUUUUGCAUGUUUUAAGAAGAAAUUCCUAAAGACUUCGUUAUUUUUCUUAAAGUUUCCCACUCUGCAGGUUCUUUUUUCUUUUUGAGUUUUUGAGUCUUUUUUAAGUUUAAGGCAUAGCCCACUUACCUUAACAGAAUACAUCCCUUUUGUCUAAGCCAAAUUAUAGCUUUGUGUACAAGUACACAAUUCAAAAAAAUUGCACUACUUUUAAACUUAUAUCUCUUUGAAAAGUCUUAACCAAAGAAUAUAAUUCAAAUACAAUUUCCACCAAAGGACCUAAUUAAAAAUAUGCAUUUAUUAACAUGGCUUGACCAGCUUCAACCAGGGGACUGUGGCUAUUCAGCUGAGGGUGGGGAAUGUGCAGGUGUUUGUGUGCCACUUGUCUGCUCAAUGAGACCCCAGCUUGCAUGUUAAGACAUAAACAGACAAUUAAACCUGGAAGAGGAAAUUUUGGCACAGUGGAAAUUUCUUUCCUGGUAAAAAAACAAACUGCUUUUUACCUCCAAAUACAUAUAACGAUGGCAAUAAAGAAGUUAGAAUAGUCAUGCAAUCUAUUACUCUGAAAUCAUCACGUAUUUGCCACUAAUGGAGUCAUUGUGCUGCUCUCUGGCUGUACGCAACAAAGCGCACGGUAUCGCAGCUGCAUAAAGGAGCCGUGUUUUCUGUUUGUAUAAGCCUGAGCUAUAACAUUCAAUUCCCAAACAAUACUAAAAAUAGGAGGAAAAGAACAUUCCUGCCUAUAAUAUUCAUUGGUUAAAUCAGAGGAUGUGGUGACUGCAAGUUUUAAGAACACUUUGAAUAUAUCUAUUUUUUUAUUUUCUGUAGGCCUUUGUUUUGAAUAUAUAUAUAUAUAUAUUUUAAAUGUUUAUUUUCUGUGGGCCUUAUUCUGAUAUUCCAGUGAUGUAAAUUCAUUGAUCGCAGUAGGCAGAUUUAUAAUAAAAAUAGUGCAAUUAGAUGCAGGCCCAACAGCCAAAGAAGUGUUAAAAUCUUCAGAGAAUGACUAAAUGAUCCAUUAUGUUUUGGCAACUGCAAACUCAUUUCCUACCUGCUGUUCGUUUUGUGGUCGCUAUGAACCAAUUAUUUCAGAUAAUGUGGGAAACAGUCCAUUUAUGAGAAUCCAUCAAGAAAUCAUUAUUCCACUAGAAGCAGUGUGCUUUUUUAAACAGAAUUGGAGAGUAUGGAUUCAAAAAUAUUUUCUCACUCAGGGCAGGGGGGAUGAGGAGGAAGGGGCUGGGCUGGAGGGCUAGAGCCAUGUUCUCGGGAGUUUUUACUGAGCAGUUUUCUCAUCUGAAACGCACCAGAUGAGGGUAUAUGUAGUACAGGAUACAGCAAUUUAUUCCAUCUCCAGGCACAGGGUAUGGCAGCAAUGUCAGGAGCCUGAAAGUGCAGCAGCUCUGGCUGUUAACAUCUGAUACAUUUAUUUAUUUAUCUGGCUAUAUUUAAUGUCUAUGCAUAUUUAUCAAGCUUCAAACUGUGCCUCACUGCCCUGCACCAGGCAUAUACUCUUUGUUAGUGCUGCAUGCUGGAAAAAAAACAAAACAUAAAAAGUUAUAUAAAUUAAAGCUCCCAUUAGUUGCUACUUAAAGAAGGCUCAGCAUGUUCCUACAAAAAUCUGAGACAAUCUCAUUAUUGCUAUUUCUCUUUUUUUUUUGCUGUAGCUUCAUGAUGCCUCUGCCAGAGGUUGGUCGUGGCUCCCUUGCGUUAAGCUCAGUAUGAGCAUGGCAAAUGAGGAUUUUUCCCAGUAUCCUCACCAAAGGCAUAAACAAGCGAGGAAGCAAACCCCAAGCUUAUAUGCGGGCCUUAGUUUGCCCAUGACAGACAUCCUGUUCGACCUGUGCAUCUUUCCUUCGGGAGCACAGCAAAGCUUGUGGAUGGCAGAAAAGCCAAAAGCCCGUGUUAAAGGUGCACCUGUGUUAUGCAAAACCAGUGAGAGUGACAAGGCUUGUCCAGUGCUCGCGGCAUUUGUUCCUUUGUGCUGCUGGCUUUCUUUCUCUCAGGCUUUAAUGUAAGGAACUGCACGCUGUAAUACUGAAAAUGCUUUUUCCCUACUUUACCCAGGAUCCGUUGCUUCAAUGAGCCAAUUCUCCAUAGGCUCCCCUCUCACACUUGCAGCAAAGACAAGGUUUGCCCCAGGCUGACUUGCCAGGGUGGAGCUGGUACCUUCCCACUCUCCAACGAGUGCGUACAGUGAAUAAUUACUGACCUUUUUUUCCCCAUACCUCAGUGCAGGGAUGAAUACACCGGGUUGCCUCCUGGAGGAACUCCUUUCUAAACUACACUAACCCAUGACCAGAAUAAAUGAUUACAGACCUCUCUGUGCCACUGAGGGCUUUAAUCAGUACAAAGUGGCACUGCCAGAAGCCUUCCUGAUGGUAAAUCAAGGCAAUGCAGCAACUCAGUCUUUCACUGCCUCUGUUAUUAAAUGAAAGCUCACUGGGAUUUUUUUAGGUUACUGCUUCCUGAUUCUGCACUUUGAGCAGCUGGAGGAACCUGCUGUGCCCUGGGGCAGUGGCUGAAGGGAGCAUAGCAGCUGACCUCUGGAUGUGUGCAGGGUGUCAGGUGCCGCACACAGACCACUGUGGUUUUGAGGGCUAGGGACUUAACAUGGUUAGGGGUCUGCCUCAUGCUAGCACAAACCCUAAAUAAAAGUAAGUGACCUGUAAAGCCUCAAUGGAGUCACAUGGGAAACCAAAUAAUUAUACAGUAAGAAACAGGCUGGCGUACCUUUUUUCUAGAGAAAUCGACUGUUCGGCAUAAAAAGCUGUAAUGCUACUUGAAACGGGAUUAUGUUGUCCACUCUUCUGGAAGAAAUGCAGCAGCAAAGCAAGAAAACGAAAAAUUCAGUGAUGACUGCACAUCUUCCCCAAAGCGUUAUCUCAGAAACGGCAACACAUAAGCCCCUAAAGGCUCUUUUUGCGCAAGAAAAGAGGGACUGCCGUGCGGCUGGGGAAAACAGGGUUCUUCACCUACCCUUGCGCUGAUCAGAAAGAUCAAACCCUAGUACCUGGAACGCUGUGGUUCCUUGUGCAUUUGUUUUUCCUUCUUGUAAAUUGGUUCUUUUGACAGAAGAAGAUGGAUCUAUGUGCUUUCUUUUGCUUAUAUCUAUCAUUUGCUCUUUAUUAUUUUUAGAAAAAAAUAUUCUAAAUUCCUUUAUAUUGGAUACUUUGAGCCGUAUCUUGCAUCAGACACUAGAAAAUCCUAUCCUAAAAAUGUCCUGCCCAUUCCACAGCAAGUUACUGUGGAUAACUCGGCUGUAAUUUGGCAUGAACUUGGAGGCCCAGCAUGGCUUGGGCCAGGAGCCCCUGCUGGGGGUGCGUGGUGCCAUGGGGGGCACUGACACCCAGGCAGGGCCACCAGUGCCCUCCAAGCCCUGGCACCACCCCAGUUACACCAUGCUUUCCUCAGACACCAAACCCAAUUCUUGUUAGGGACACCCAGCUGAAUCCACAGAUUUCACACAUCUACUCAGCCGCAACAAGAGAUGUAUACACAAGUAAAACAAGAAAUUAAACUUGGCUUAGGACAGUUCACCUUCCCCUUUACUUAUUUGUGUUUUAGAUAAAAUAAAUGUAAACCUCCUUACUUACCUUAGUGUUCUUCACAAAAACUUCAUUUUCUGUGGAUAUGAAUUAUUUUUUUUCCAAAAAACCUCCUUUAUGAAAGCCAGGUUUAAAGAACACAAUUACUGUGGAAGAAACCCUACGGAACGUGAAUACCAGCUUUGUGCAGAUUACGAGACAGUAUUUCCUGAAGAAAUAGGCUACAGUUCCAAAUACAGUGGAUUUUGGUGCUUUUUUUUCUCUAUUUCAGAGUACCGCUAACAACUUUUCUAUCUGCAGACGCGGGUAAGGAAACCAAGAGCAGCAGGGCUUGCGUGUCACCAGCACUCUGUGAUGCGUUCAGCACAAGAUUUAUAGCACUUGCAAGCCGUAAAUGUGGCCUAGGUCAGCAACAAAAAAUUUCCAACCUCUCCAUUGAGAGAAAAACUCCCUAUUGAGCUUUGUGAACAAGUGAGCAGUCCUUGUUUGCAGCCCCUCAGAAAGAAGCGCUCUACAAGUAGAAUAUAUUGCAGAAAUGUCAUGCAAAUGCUAAAAGGGACCACGAGACAGAUGGUUCAAGACUUCUUUUGGAGCUGGCCAGACCAUCUUUAACAAGAAAACAUUUUUCUGAAGGCUGGAGCGUUUCACUCAACAUUCCCGUUUUCUUGGGUCCAGGCUGCUUUGAUGUAGCAGGUUACAGGAAAGUUUCUUGGUGCUCUCUGCAAAGCAGUUCUAGCUCAGGUCUCUGCCCGAUUCUGGGUUGUGCAUCUCAUCUUGGGCCACCUUCUUGUGGCAAGACUGUGACUCUGCUCAGCACCCCGAUCACUGCAGCAGAAAGGCUGUGGCAAGUCAGAUCCCCACAUUAAUUCCUCCCACACUUACCUACCAUUGCUUGACCCAAAGAGCUCUUCCAAAAUCAAGGCACUGCCACUGCCACCUGAGAGCUGGCCUUAAACCAUUCCUUUUCAGCCCAACACAGAACAGAGCCACGGAAGAAAAAAGGUCAGUUUUGGUUCUAGUUUGUAAUCUCCAGGCAAAUGCUGGAUGUUUCCCCCUUUCCGUGAUGGAAGCUGUUAUUUUUGUCAGGCUGUGGAAGAGCUAAAUUUGCUUGCUGGCAGGGCAAGGUCAGUAACAUCAUUUCCCUGGACAUCUUAACCCCAAACUGUUACCUGGAGCACACUGCGGAGCUGUUACGACAUCUGGAGCAAAAAUGCAUUCACCUCAGGCCUGUCGCGGCGUUCAGCCUGGCAGUGUCCUCACCAGCUGGUUCCUUCCAGCUGGCUGCCCUUUCCCUGCAGAACAAGCCAGCUUUAUUGCUGAGAGGCAGACGUAUGGGUUGGGUAUUGCACUGACAUGUCCAAAAGCAAGGGCAGCAACUUUCCAUAAAUGCUUCAGGUCAUCACUCAGGAUGAGCAGAAGGGAACAAACUUUAUUUUGAAAGAAGUCCAGAAAAGAUGGCACAGCUCACACUGCUUCAGCGGUGAGGUAGCUCAUACUGGGCUCCUCUGAAUAUGUGAUGGGUGCCCAGCUCACCUAAAUACUGCCAUUUGGGGAGAAAAUACUACUCUCAGUCUGUUUGGGCCUCGCAGUGGAGGUACCAGCGUCUCUUCAUCUCUGCGACCUGAAUGCAAUGACCUGUUAAGCCAGUGGUAUAAAGCAAUCUCUGAAUUUGGCCUUUCCCGUGAGGACUUCAUAUGCUAGUGUCUUUUUAUUUCAGGAACAACACUGUUCAUAAAUCAGUUCUCUCCUAGAGGACUUGGGGAAAAUACAAUAUUAUCUCAAUUAAACAAAAGUGUUUUUCUGCAGAUCUAUCACUCCAAAUGGAACAGACUGACAGCCACAUCAAUGUACGUCCUGUAAUUCAGAAAAUGCAUUCAAAAAUGUUUCAUCUAGAUUAAAACCCUAUUCCUCCUGCCAGCGUCAUUUUCAAUUUAUGGCUGGGGAAAAGCAGGGGGCUGCAACUAGCUAUUACUGAUUAGUCACCCAUGUUCUUUUCUCUUUGUUUAUCUCACACCAACAAUGUUGGGUAUCUGAUCCAAACGCUCGCUGGAAUGCUACACAAAAUGUUGGCGCAUUGAUAAAUGCCUGUUUUUUUAACUUCUGGGCAAGUCAGUCUAGUACAAAGAUGGGUGACGGAAAGGCUAACCAUAUAUAACAUGAUUUCAGAGAGCAGGUGGAUGGAUAAUUCGCAACACAGAUUGUAAACCCUUGUGCCAUUUUAAUGUGUCAUUAUAGUAAUGGGAGAUUUAUGCUAGCAAUACUUGCAGGUUUUUGCCAAAAGCACACAUUGCCUAAAUUGAGACUAUUGAUGUAGUGCUCUCAUCAUUUAAGGUGCAUUAGAGACACUAUAAGAAGAGAAAUGUGGAGAGGGACAUUGGGAUGCUAUUAGUGAGUUGCAUAUGAAAUUAAAUGGGAAAUGAGCAAAACUCCAUCUCAUCGUAGCACAAAACUUCUGUCUCUGCAUGAAAAUAAAAUCAUUCUUAUUCCACUUGUAAGCCAUAUGCUGGUAAUUUGCACAGCACUGAGUGGUAUUAUUCAUUCAACGUGGCUAAUAUUAUUUAUAGCAUUUUGAAAAAAGCCUAUUUAAUUGCCCAUAGACAGCAUAAUCUCUCUAGUAAAUAUCUCCCAAAUGGAGACCUGGACAACACAAACUGUGCAGUACUCUGCUGAUGGCCCGUGCUAUAAGGGUCCCUGUAGUCUGUAUAUGGAUAUGCGAAGAUUUGGAGUCCAACCACAUUUCAGAUGGAGUGAGAUGAAAGUUCAGGCAUUAGACAGUAACAGUAUAGUUGGCUGGAAAGUUAUGGUUUUUAUCAGAGGGAACCAUGCCAUAUGUGUCUGAUUAAAAAAAAAUAAAAAAUAAAUCCAAACCUAAAUCCUAAACAGACAAAAGAAGCUUAAAAGUUUUGAGUUUCUUACAAAGCAAACAAACAAACAAAGUCCACCAGAUAGGAAGAAAGAGAAGGAAGGAAAAAGGAAAGAAGAAAAAAAAAAAAAAAAAAGGAAAAGGAAAAAGGCAAGAGCAAAACCUGUUAUGUGGCCAAGUACUGCAGCCCUAUACGUCCCAGUAUCACUCCAGUCCUAUAAAAGAGACACGUCUCCAGUUACCUGUAUGAUAUUUUCAAACAACCUCAGAGGAGCACAUGCUCUUAGCUACAGGUAGGCAAGAGUCAUUUUGUGUUAUAUUGUCUUUUUUUACACUGUAUUCAUGCACAUUAUUUUCUCACAAUUAGCAAAGCCACAGAAUUACUGGGAGAGGUUGUGCAAAGUACUUUUCCCUGAGCAGUGAGUAGUUUCAGUAACGUAUCUGUCAAAUGAGAGGCAUUUCCUCUUGCGUAGUGCUGCACAAAAAGAGGUUCAAGGAGAGAUAAGACAGAAAAAAAGCUUGCUGUUUGUAUCAUAAGCAUUACUUUCCCCCAACAAAAGCAGAACUUUGGCAAAAGUCAAAUCCACCCGAGAGAGCUGGUGUUAGAGUAAUAAAGGCAAAUUUUGCAAAGGAAAAUUUGGAUCCUGGCCUAAACAAGUUGAAUAUGAGUUUUAAAGGUACAUUGUAAGUCAUCUGAUGGAUGGUCCAGUGAGAGCAAGAACAACCUGGCUGCUUUGGCUCUGAAUUUGGCUCUGGAGAGCUGGGUUUAGUUCACAGCUCAGUCACAGGCUAAAAUAUUGGACAGGUGUGUGCCCUAUUUUCCCUUCUGUAACAAGGGAUUAUUUCUUCAGUACUUCACACUGGUGAGAAGACAGAAUCCAUUAACCUCUGUGUGUUCUCACAUACUCCGAUCACAAAGGUCAUAUAUAAAUUACCCUGUAAGAGUAACUAGUUGUUUUAGUGGGUUAGUGUAAGUAUUAACACACCAUGGAAUAUUGGACUUAAAAUCAGCAGCUGGUGAGAAAUUCAGAAAAUCCCCCCUUUCCUUCCCAAGCUCCGCCAUUAAACAUUUGCUUGUUUGCAUUUGAUUAUGUCAAAAAAUUUUGCACUGCAGUUUUAAGUCCCGAUCCAUAGCUCUCUUUAAUUACAAUUCAUUGUGAUUUUGAUCGCUCUCAUUUCCUGCAGACAUUUUGCUACCUGUCAACAAACACAACAGAAAAGGACUUUUGAAACUAUGCAUCAAGUCUGCAGGUAUCAGAAACACUGAAGUGGGAGGCGUGUGGCACUGUUAAAGGGGGGUAUUUGCUCCCCUGAAGUACACGGAGAUAUUGAUCCAGAAAUCCCACAAGCAGCAGUUUUGGCAGCAGCUCCUCUACAUAGGUGUUUAAGCAGGUUAGACAGAUUGUCUCCUGGCAAGUGGUGGGUGGUACUGGGACUCAGGCUAAAAUUUAUUCAACACUAACAGGUGAACCUGAGUUUCUACCUGCCAGUUUCUCACCAGUCUCCUUUUUAAAUACAAAGAGUUGAAAUCCAAAAGUCUUAAUCUAAUUAAACCUCGAGCUUUUGUGAACUCGUCUGUAUCUCUGCUUCUACUUUCUACAGGUAGGCAAUUUCUGUGAAUGGGUCAUCAAAUAUGAAGCAGCAUGCAGUGUGUCCAAACAUGAAACAGAAGUACCUGCACGUGUUUUUUUUGUGUGUGUGUGUUUUGUUGUUGUUGCUGUUUUGUUCUUUGCUUGUUUGUUUUUCAAGUACUACAGGGAGAAAAGGCAAGAAAAGUGCUUAAAAAAUGUUAUUAAACACUUUUAUUCUAAUAAUGAUAUCCUGUGUGGGAGUAACCAUGUAUUUUGCUGUGCUCUUUUCUGGCUCCCAGCAAUGACCUCCUUCCAAUUUCCCAAUUCUGCCUUUCUGAAAAAGAAUGGUCCUUGAGUAUGUUUCUGCUCAUUGCUAUGGCUUGUGCCCAGAGAGCAGAGGCUAUUACAAACUCCAGUUGUCUGUGGAGGCUUACACUGAAUCAAACAAAAUCGCACCUUUCUUUGCAUUAACAUAUCAACCUUUGUUAAAGAUAAACAUGACACUGCUUCCCAAACCCCGGAGAAGCUCUGAAGACAUUCUGAGAGUUGCAUGGGAAAUCUGAAAAGAUGUACCUGGGAAAUUGCCUUUACAGCCGUAGAGAUGAAGCAUACACAUUCAGUUUUCCACGUAACUGCAGCUUGCAGUGAAACAGCGCUGUGUUGUUGUCCCAAUCUCAUUGUAACUAUUACCCACGCUCCUGCUGAUGCUCCAUAUUAACCUGCAGUACGUUUAGGUACAGACAUUUAGAUUUUCAAGCACAGUAUUUUCCAAUUAAAACCAAUGAAGUCUUUAACCUGAAUUACUACUGUUGCUCCUUAUGAUUUUUAAUGUCUUACAGUUAUUUUUUUUUCCUGAUAGCACCAGUCACAACAUUGCACAUCAUGGGAUAAGACGAUUCCAUUUUUAUUAAAAAGAAAAUAUUUAAAGAUGUCAUGCAAAGAUUGAAAUGAUGUACUGCAAAAAGCUGAACAUCCCAACAUCUAUUGUUUCUUAAAAGCAUGUGAGUUUUUGAUGCUUCAGUUACAGUGAUUUAAUGCUUGGAAGCAGAGGGACUGAUGAAGAUGCCAGCCCAGAGCCUAGCUCUAGGGUUUGCUGUAACCAGAACAGUGAGGAAAGUACUUUUCUACUUUUUUUUUUUUUUUUUUUUUGUCUGCUUUUGGUCUCUAUUGGGGUGGGGUGAGGAGAUAUUUUUAACCAAAAACCCUUUUGCUGUGAAUAACUACUGAACUAACACAAUUUAGUCAUCUUUCCCUAUACAGCAGUUACCCAGGCGGAAAAAAAAAAUAAAAAUUUAAAAGCCCACACAGGAAGGAAGGCAAAUGAAUGAAGUGUCCCAGCUGUAGGUCCUGCAGCAUUUGUACUUGGGCUGUGUGUCUUAUGCACCAGUGUUGGUGCUUGGCCAUCAGUCCUGCUUGCCUCAAACCAGGAAGUGUUAGCAAAAAAAUACAUGGGACAGGGAUUUGCUAAAAAGUUCUCGCUGGCCUUAAAAUAUUUUCAUCCCAACUAAGUACCUGCUGUCCACGUGAACAAGUAAAAUUCUCAGUGAAAUGCAGACCACACAGUAGAAGUUGUGAAAGAAACUGGAUUCACUUAUGAUGCCACGUGUUGAUUAUUGCAACCUGCUGAUUUCCCUCCACCUGCACAAGCCUUAAAAUUCAUGCUGUCUUUCAUGGUCACAUUACCAUGAUGGCACUGCCAUUUGGGACAUGGAAAUGGAUUUGCUACCUGAGUCAAAGCUUAAGCCACACUCUCUUAUAAAUCCAGAUACAAAAAAAAAAAAAAAAAAAAAAGCUUCAAAAUGACUUUGUUGGUAGGUUACUUCAAUUUUUUCUUCACAUUGAUAGCUGAAAUACUCAAUGGCAGAUCUAGUCGAAAUGCAUAAAUACAACAUUUCUCAGUACUGCUCACUGAGAAUAUACAGUGAAUAUUUUGAAACUAAUUCCCCUUGCUGUUUUCUUGAUUCAUGAAUCUUAACAUAUUGGGCACUAGCUACUAAAUCCCAGUCUCUUUAAAAUUCAGCAGGAGUUUUUAUUAUUGACCUCAGUAAAGCCGGGAUUUCAAUUGCAUUUUAGGGAGGUCACCAGUUCCAUAUUUAAAGUCAACUGGAGUUGGACUACACUGUCCCAGAGUAGCUGAACUGCUGAGCUGCCUUCAGUUUGUGCUAGCCUGAAUGACAGCUCAUGUUUUCAGAUAGGUCUCCAGCCCACACAAAUUACAGCUUCUCCAUAGCUUGUAUAUGAACAGCUUUCAGAUCUUGGUUUUGGUAAGCAUUAUGGAAUGAGAUGCAGAUCUGAUCCUAUCCCUGACUUUUUUUUUCCUUUACUUUGGUCACAGCUCUGUGCAUAAUUUUCAGAGAGACUCAAAUUGAUGACCUUCAAAUGAGGUACCCAAAUGAGGUUACACAGCUGAGACUGAUUACUUUUCUUGUCAGGAUACCUUUCAUGGUAGUUUUGGUGAUCUCUAGACAUCCAUUUCUCUACUUGUUUUCCAAAUAAUAGGAGAAAUGGACCACACAACAGAAUGAUGAAGGAAGUUAAAUUAAAAAAAAUAAAAAAAAUAAAAAGAGAGAGAAGCAUGAGGUGUUUUACUACAAAAUACCUUGGAUCUUGAACAUGCUGAUGAAUUUAGACAACCAUCUUAUCCUGCACCUUGUGAUGAUGGUUCAAACUGAACUGAAGGUUGGAAGUGAAUCUUCCAGAUUUUGUGAGAGGUCUACUUGACUGAACUUUUUUCCUGAUGAACUGUUGGGGAGCAGAGCAUCCACUACUGGAAAUGUACUCUUCAUCUGAUAAUAACAAUCAAUAGCUAGUGAGAGCACUCAGAUAAAGAAAGAGCCUAAAGCUGGUCUCAUGCUGGCACAGCAUACAGCCAGACAAAAAGCUAGCCUGAACCUGAGGAGUACAGACACCGCUGAAAACAGCACACACACAGGGCCAUCUGCUAAAAAGGAUUUUUCCCCCCCUAAGUCCUCCCAGGCUCAAAACCAGCUCAACUGAAAAGUGCAUUAUAUAGAGAGUAGCUCGAAUUCUGCUGUCCCAUCCAGAAUAGCAAAAGACAACACUGGGAAGAAACAGAACGAUCACUUUAGCAACACAAGUUACAAAGCAAAUGAACCCUCCCUCUGCUCUGCAUGCAGGUAUCGAUACUCGAAGCAGAAUAAAUGUAACUGAACUGGUAUGGUCUGUCCUGGAGGUUUAUUUCCAUGGUCCCACUGAGCCUCUGGGGACAUAUUAAGGAGUAAUGGCAGAUGCAUGCAGGUCAUUUGACUUGCUGCAAUGAUUCCAGCAGCUGGAGAGAUGUGUAAGGACUGCAAGAGUCAAUUCUGUAAUGGUAAGGCACAGUUGACUAAACUGGAUACUUCUGGGAACUGAGCUUGUUUAUAUGAUUUUAAGUGGUUUUAAAAAUUCAAUAUUAGCAGGUAAUAGUUAUACAGCUAUGAGUUCAAUUAACAAUCUGGACAGCUUUUUUAGUACAGACUGCUUAAAUCUAAAUAAAAUGAUUGAAUCCUAUUUGUUCCAACACCCAUACACAAUUCUUUUUUUCUUUUUUUUUUUAAACUACUUUUGCAAAGCCACUUAUUUUAAAUAUCUGACUUCUAUACACACUGAUACUCCUCUCAGGAGACUAACUAGAAGAAAAAUAAGCAGUGACAUUACUCUUACAGUGGAUCCAAUCUCUGAACUCAGUGCAGUGCUGCCAGUAUUUUUGGCAGAGAACUCCAAAAAGAUCGUGCCUGAAGCUGUGGAGCUGAGAGGUGAAGAGAGCAGCAGGUGUUGCAGCGGAGCUGACCUGCUCUCAGGAGGCAAUCCACUUUGAGGACACCCACUGGCUCAGGCUGGUGAUAACUGAAAAUGCGAAGUGCCUAAAUCAUGUACCCUGAUGUGGUGCCAGGAGAUUAAUAAAUAUGAUGACGUAGAUCUGCUGCUCCCUGUCGCUGUUACUCUGUCACAAAGUACAAAUUCAUCUAAAUCAGAACUGCGGUGCAGUCAUCAAUAUUCUGAGGUGUUUUCAGAGCUGAGCAUUUAUUUCAGAGACUUUCCCCUCCCAAACAGGGUAUUGGUUCCCUGGUCCUUUUUAGAAAUUAGCUAAGUUCCAUCCCAAGCAAAGAACUUAUCCCAGAACCUUUAUUAACCUCAUAGGAAAAUAUUAAUCAGUGUCUUCUGCAAGCUCCUAUGAACUCACUCUGUCAUUUCUCUAGUAGCCUUCUAGAAAAUAUUGGAAGGCACAUCCACACAUAUCCUUCAAAACUCAAACCUGCUGUUUGAUUAAAAGAAGAAAAAAAACAGGAGUUUGCAGAGAAAGAAAGAACAUCUUUGUUUGUUGACAGCAAUAAAAUGUAACUUGUCACCAGA